rnacentral:rRNA from 1 species
AUUGAACGCUGGCGGCAGGCCUAACACAUGCAAGUCGAACGGUAACAGGAAGAGGCUUGCUUCUUUGCUGACGAGUGGCGGGCGGGUGAGUAAUGUCUGUGAAACUGCCUGAUGGAGGGGGGUAACUACUGGAAACGGUAGCUAAUACCGCAUAACGUCGCAAGAGCAAAGAGGGGGAGCUCCUGGCCCCUUGCCAUCUGAUAUGCCCAGAUGGGAUUAGCUAGUAGGUGGGGUAACGGCUCACCCAGGCGACGAUCCCUAGCUGGUCUGAGAGGAUGAUCAGCCACACUGGAACUGAGACACGGUCCAGACUCCUACGGGAGGCAGCAGUGGGGAAUAUUGCACAAUGGGCGCAAGCCUGAUGCAGCCAUGCCGCGUGUAUGAAGAAGGCCUUCGGGUUGUAAAGUACUUUCAGCGGGGAGGAAGGGAGUAAAGUUAAUACCUUGACUCAUUGACGUUACCCAAAGAAGAAGCACCGGCUAACUCCGUG